rnacentral:rRNA from 1 species
GACGAACGCUGGCGGCGUGCUUAACACAUGCAAGUCGAACGGAAAGGCCCUGCUUUUGUGGGGUGCUCGAGUGGCGAACGGGUGAGUAACACGUGAGUAACCUGCCCUUGACUUUGGGAUAUCUUCAGGAAACUGGGGCUAAUACCGGAUAGGAGCUCCUGCUGCAUGGUGGGGGUUGGAAAGUUUCGGCGGUUGGGGAUGGACUCGCGGCUUAUCAGCUUGUUGGUGUGGUAGUGGCUUACCAAGGCUUUGACGGGUAGCCGGCCUGAGAGGGUGACCGGCCACAUUGGGACUGAGGUACGGCCCAGAAUCCUACGGGAGGCAGCAGUGGAGAAUAUUGCACAAUGGGCGGAAGCCUGAUGCAGCGACGCCGCGUGCGGGAUGACGGCCUUCGGGUUGUAAACCGCUUUCGACUGUGACGAAGCGUGCGUGACGGUAAUGGGUAAAGAAGCACCGGCUAACUACGUG